rnacentral:lncRNA from 1 species
UGAUUGCACUGUGGUCUGAGAGACAGUUAGUUAUAAUUUUGGAAAUCUCUGUUAACCUGGUUCAGUUCCUGGAUAUCCCUGGAUAAUCCCUGGAUAUCCCUGAGUUCAAUUCCUGGAUAUCCUUCUCUGUAUUUCCUGUAUUUGAAUGUUGGCCUGCCGUGCUAGGUUGGGGAAGUUCUCCUGGAUAAUAUCCUGCAGAGUGUUUUCCAACUUGGUUCCAUUCUCCCCAUCACUUUCAGGUACACCAAUCAGACAUAGAUUUGGUCUUUUCACAUAGUCCCAUAUUUCUUGGAGGCUUUGUUC